rnacentral:rRNA from 1 species
GCAGCAUGUCCGGUAUCCGGCCUUCACGGGCUGGGUGUCGGGCGAUAAGGAUAACCCUGGUAAUUCUGAGGCUAAUACAGACCGUAAUCCCUGGCUGACCGGGUAACUGGGAGGUUGGGGGACGUGUAAUUGGUCGCAAGGAUGACCGGGAAAGAAUGCACGUUCUGACCGCGACAAAAACGGAUCAGCUUCGGCUGGCCCGAGCGGCUCUUGCAAUGUGCUUCUGACCUAUCAACUAGAUGGCAGCGUAACGGACAUGCUAUGGUUGCAACGGGUACAGAGGAUUAGGGUUCGAUCCUGGAGAGUGGGCCUGAGAGAUA